CUGCAUGCCUCAGUAGCGGCGAGUGAGCGGCAGAGCUCAGAUUUGAAAUCGCAGCACCAUGCUGCGAGUUGUAAAUUGCAGGUGGGAGAGUCUGCGUAGGCCGGUGUCGAAUUCCCUUGGAACAGGGCGCCACUGAGGGUGAGAGCCCCGUGCGAUGCCACGCUCUACGUUUUGUACUCCCCUCUGACGAGUCGAGUUGUUUGGAAAUAAUA
rnacentral:rRNA from 1 species